rnacentral:tRNA from 1 species
GGAGAAGCGGCAACGAUUGGCGGUGUUGCAGCAGACUGUAAAUCUGUUCCCUCGCGGUAAACAUUGUAGGUUCAAUUCCUAUCUUCUCCA